GUAGGGGGCGAGCGUUGUCCGGAUUUACUGGGCGUAAAGCGCGUGCAGGCGGUCCGUUAAGUCUCGUGUGAAAUCCUCCGGCCCAACCGGAGAACGCCGCGGGAUACUGGCGGGCUUGAGGGCGGUAGAGGGGGAUGGAAUUCCCGGUGGAGCGGUGAAAUGCGUAGAUAUCGGGAGGAACGCCAGUGGCGAAGGCGGUCACCUGGGCCGUCCCUGACGCUGAGACGCGAAAGCUGGGGGAGCGAACGGGAUUAGAUACCCCGGUAGUCCCAGCCGUAAACGAUGCUCACUAGGUGUUGGGGGGUUACUCCCUCAGUGCCGCAGCCAACGCAUUAAGUGAGCCGCCUGGGUAGUACGGCCGCAAGGUUGAA
rnacentral:rRNA from 1 species